rnacentral:rRNA from 1 species
GGGGGGGGGGGGGGGGGGGCCUGGCGGAGGCGGGGGUGGCGGCGGAGGGGGGCGGGGUCCUGGGUUCAGCGGCGGACGGGUGGGGAAUGCCUGGGGAUCUGACUGGUAGGGGGGGGUAACGUCCGAAGACGGGCUCUACUCCGGCGUGCGUCCGGAUGGAGAGACUGGGGGAGCUUGAGACCUCACGCUAGCAGUGGCGCCUCGGGCGGAUUAGCUAGUUGGUGGGGUAACGGCCUACCAAGGCGACGAUCCGUAACUGGUCUGAGAGGAUGAUCAGUCACACUGGAACUGAGACACGGUCCAGACUCCUACGGGAGGCAGCAGUGGGGAAUAUUGGACAAAGGGCGAAAGCCUGAUCCAGCCAUGCCGCGUGUGUGAAGAAGGUCUUCGGAUUGUAAAGCACUUUAAGUUGGGAGGAAGGGCAGUAAGUUAAUACCUUGCUGUUUUGACGUUACCAACAGAAUAAGCACCGGCUAACUUCGUG